rnacentral:rRNA from 1 species
UACGAAGGGGGCUAGCGUUGUUCGGAAUUACUGGGCGUAAAGCGCACGUAGGCGGAUUGCUAAGUUAGGGGUGAAAUCCCAGGGCUCAACCCUGGAACUGCCUUUAAUACUGGCAAUCUCGAGUCCGAGAGAGGUGAGUGGAAUUCCGAGUGUAGAGGUGAAAUUCGUAGAUAUUCGGAGGAACACCAGUGGCGAAGGCGGCUCACUGGCUCGGUACUGACGCUGAGGUGCGAAAGCGUGGGGAGCAAACAGG